GGGGCUGAUUCUGGAUUCGACGGGAUUUGCGAAACCCAAGGUGCAUGCCGAGGGGCGGUUGGCCUCGUAAAAAGCCGCAAAAAAUAGUCGCAAACGACGAAAACUACGCUUUAGCAGCUUAAUAACCUGCUUAGAGCACUCUCUCCCUAGCCUCCGCUCUUAGGACGGGGAUCAAGAGAGGUCAAACCCAAAAGAGAUCGCGUGGAAGCCCUGCCUGGGGUUGAAGCGUUAAAACUUAAUCAGGCUAGUUUGUUAGUGGCGUGUCCGUCCGCAGCUGGCAAGCGAAUGUAAAGACUGACUAAGCAUGUAGUACCGAGGAUGUAGGAAUUUCGGACGCGGGUUCAACUCCCGCCAGCUCCACCA
rnacentral:tmRNA from 2 species